UGGGUGAUUAAAGAGGAAGAAGGGAAGGGACAGAAGAAAGCAUUUUGAUGGCAGGAGUGGAAGGGCAAUCCAAAGUCAAUAAGGAAGAACCCAAACCAUGUGCUGCAGGACAUGUUGUGAACCUCCUGGUGGAAAAAUUGGACUUCUAAUGCCCCACAUCUUGCAGAUCUUUCCAAAAGCCAGGGGAAGAAUAUUUUGAUGAUGAGAAGAGAAUGUGGGAAAGAGGAAAGUGGGUGAGACGAUGUCAGAAAUGCUGAUGGAUUUAUUUCAAGGUUAUCUAGGAGUGAGGUGACACUGAUCCAGAAAACCCACAAUGAAAAUUGAGUUGAUUUGACUCAUCGCUACUACAGAAGAAAGAAAUCAGGACCCAUGGCAUAUUUUUUAACUUUUUCAUCGGGAAACACCCUAAAAGACUGGACAAAGUAAACAUUUCACACAUUGUUUUCUUGAGCUAUUUGUUUUGUUACAGUUGGGUUUCUGAGGCUGGGAGGACACAGAAUUAACUGUCAACACAAUCAUUACAUGAGGGAUGGAAGAAAGGGUGAUAAAGUGUGUUCCAUUAAAACUUCAGUGAUGAUUUUAGUGUGCCAGGCUGCAGUGAUCAGAAUUGGAACAUGACUAUGACACCUGAAAUCACUCCUGUUAGCAAGAUUCAGGGACAUUCAGGCUGGAAAACAUUUAAUCUAUCUUUGCUGACCUAAAAAUUAAGCAUUUAGUCUAAGCUUGAUUCUUCUAAUGUCAUGUUGAGAGAGCCACUCUAGGGAUGAUCCAUCCUCUCCUAAGACUAAGUGUCUUGACACUGCAAUUAUUUAUCUUUAUAAGCUAUAGGAGGAAGCUGAAUCUCUAGUUUAAAGUAGUCACUCACUUUUUAGGUGGCUCAUGUUGGACAAAAUGGAUUUAGACCUGACUCAGUUCUUCAGCUUUAUCCACGGCUGGAGGCCAGGAUAUUGCUCGGAUCUGACAUGGUGGCUUGGGUGAUAAAUCACUUCCUUUAAGGAGAAUCCACAAAUUUCCAUAUAGAUCUUUUGUCUAAUAGUCAAUUCUGUCCAACUCCCUAGAUGAGUAAUGCUGUAAGCCUUGCAGUGUUUUAAGCCUAUCUUUCUUUGUUCUUUCAAUAUAAAUUGCUAGAUGUGAACUGCUGCUUUAUUAUUGUGUAGUGAAAAAUAUUCUUUUUGGCUGUUUGAUGCUCUAUUUUCCUUACAGCAGUGAUGAAAAAUUGUAUAUGAGAUAAAGGCAGAAUUUACUGAAUGUAAGAAUUACUUUAUUAUUCACCACUAUUUAUUAUUUCUAGUGCAAUAAAACAGUAAUAUAACAAUAA